rnacentral:lncRNA from 1 species
AACAUAACACUGAAAAACGUAAUGGCUCCGCAACUUUAUUGGGCAGUACCACACAGCUUUCAAGUUUCACCAUACACCCACAUAUACAUAUACAUAUACAUAUACAUAUUCUUUACAGUAUAUGUUAUAUGACAAAUAUAUAAUGAGACAUCAAGUAUGAAAUAAUGGUGGAGUCGCGGCCAAGACCAAAAAGGCCUGAUUUGAUUUUCCAACCAACAUUUUUCAAGCUUCUACCCAUCAGAAAACAUUUAUUGAUACUGACCAAAUUUAAGUCUCUGCACAAUAUGAAUAUUAAUUCCCACUUAAAUAUGUCACUAUAUACACCACGAAUAUUAAU